GAUGAACGCUGGCGGCGUGCCUAAUACAUGCAAGUCGAGCGAACGGACGAGAAGCUUGCUUUUCUGAUGUUAGCGGCGGACGGGUGAGUAACACGUGGAUAACCUACCUAUAAGACUGGGAUAACUUCGGGAAACCGGAGCUAAUACCGGAUAAUAUUUUGAACCGCAUGGUUCAAAAGUGAAAGACGGUCUUGCUGUCACUUAUAGAUGGAUCCGCGCUGCAUUAGCUAGUUGGUAAGGUAACGGCUUACCAAGGCAACGAUGCAUAGCCGACCUGAGAGGGUGAUCGGCCACACUGGAACUGAGACACGGUCCAGACUCCUACGGGAGGCAGCAGUAGGGAAUCUUCGGCAAUGGGCGAAAGCCUGACGGAGCAACGCCGCGUGAGUGAUGAAGGUCUUCGGAUCGUAAAACUCUGUUAUUAGGGAAGAACAUAUGUGUAAGUAACUGUGCACAUCUUGACGGUACCUAAUCAGAAAGCAACGGCUAACUACGUG
rnacentral:rRNA from 1 species